AUUGAAACACCAGUUCUCAUCCGAUCACCAAAGUUAAGCAGCAUUGAACCUAGUCAAUACCUGGAUGGGUGAUCACUUGCGAAUACCCAGUGCUAUA